UACGUAGGGUCCGAGCGUUGUCCGGAAUUAUUGGGCGUAAAGGGCUCGUAGGCGGUUUGUCGCGUCGGGAGUGAAAACCUACAGCUUAACUGUGGGCUUGCUUUCGAUACGGGCAGACUAGAGGUAUGCAGGGGGAGAACGGAAUUCCUGGUGUAGCGGUGAAAUGCGCAGAUAGUCAGGAGGAACACCGGUGGCGAAGGCGGCUUUCUGGGACGGUACUGACGCUGAGACGCGAAAGCGUGGGGAGCGAACAGG
rnacentral:rRNA from 1 species